CAAGGACUGGGUGGUGGAAGUUAAGCCUCUAGCAACAAUUGUUCUCACUCAUGGGUGACUGAGUGCUGCUCUCAGCUGUUGCGAAUAUUUGUUUCCAGAGAAUGACCCAGUAUAUAGCUGUAAGCUGUAAGGGAUUGGCCUUCCCUCUGCUGCUCCAGGGUUUAAGAGCUACCUGGGAAGCUCCCAGCCCACUAGAUGCCUACAGCAACUUGCUCAGCCACUGCUGUGUAAUCUUUACAGGCAACCAGUCAGCCACAGAUGGUGACCCUGAGAGGCAGACACUGGAAAACCCACUGCCUGCCCAGGGGCCUCUCGUGGGGGCCCUGAAGGGAUGCCCUCUCUCUGCCAGACACGGCCGUGAGAUUAUCUGUGGGCCUGGAGAAGGAGAGAAAGAGCCUCGCUUUGGUUCAACAAGUGGUCCCUGGGGUAACGAGUCUCUCCUGCUCCUGUAAGUAUUCCCCCCCCCCUCACAGGAAGGGUGCUGUCUUGGCAGGCAAUGGCACGGCACAUUUUCCUUAUUUGUUAAUUGCCCCAAUAAAUAAACAAACAAACAAAUAAAUAAAUAAAUCUUUCUCUUUUGGGAACAUACCUCACGAUGGUCAUCGCCGAAAGAAUGGCAGCCUGCAAAGCCACUGCCUCUGCCACACUCUCUCCAAGGCUUUCCCUUACUGCAAACCACUCAGCACUCAUUAACCCCUUCCAGUAUCAAAAACCAAUUACCUUCCUUAAUGACCUUUUCUCCUCCUUACACAUCAGCUAAGUGCAAGUAGAUGAACGUAUCCACCCAGCUUUAUACACACCCUACGGAAAGAGAUGUCCAAAAUUAAGAAGAAGUCAUACAUUAUGUCAAGAAUAGCAAAGACACUACGUUUUCAUCUUCUCCACUGGGACCGAUGCUUGCUGGCAGAAGGACAUGCUGGGGCUGGCUGAGUGACAAGUUUCUGUGCUCAGCUCUUAGCUGAAGUAUCAGAGUAAUUUCCAACUCUGCGUGUAAUGUAACCGCUGCUUUCAUUGCAGGGCUGCAGUGAGUGAAACCAGAACCUCAUUUUCAGAUAACUUUCAAAGACAGAGAUGCGACAUCAGGAUGACAAAUAUUGAAUACGGUCAAAAAUGCCAUAAAUAGUAUCAUUAUUGAAUGUUAGAUAGUUUUAAAAAGCUAGUAAAUACCAGUGUUUACUGCAUGUGACUUUUUAGGGGUUAUUUGCAUUGCUCCUUCUUUUCUAGCCCAUGCACAAAGCCAUCUGCUAACUGUAAAAUCUGAUUUAGUUUGCUUAAGGAGAUCAGCUACAACUUUAAGGCAGCAAUUAGGUAUAUCUGCUUUUGCUAGAAAUCAGCACAGAAGGGAUUUUGCUUUCAGUUACCCUGCUUAACAGCUUGUAACUUGCCACAGCAUCACUGCAGAAAUAAAUCAUCUGCUAGCAAAGGAAACACCGGACAUCGUAUAAGGUUUCUCUUCCAUUCCUGCUGUUAACUUAACUUUGUCUUAUUUGAGGUAAAUGAAUCAUAAUGUCUUCCUUUUGAAAUCUUUGUGCUGCAUCAUACAUACUCCAGUUGUUGUUCUUACUCACACUCUGGCCACAUCAGCCCCAUAAAAUGGCUAAUUAAUUCUGUGCUCUGAUACCUAUCUUCUCUGCCACCAGUGGAACGUACAACAUUGAAUAUUUAUUGCUGUCAAUGCCUAAGAAAUGAGCAGCUCUGGAGUUAUUAAAGAGAAAAUGACACACAGGACUUUUAAUGACGCUCCAUGUAUUGAUGUGCUGCUGACCACGGCACGUAGUAAGAGGCCAUUAUAACUGGCUUCGCUAGAUUUUCACACAGAGGUCAGAUACUCUCAAUCCUUUUGCCAAGGAAUGAGGGAGGAAAGCAUGGCACCCUCCUCCCCGCAUACCUGCCUGAAGGCUAAGGACGCAGCAACCUUGGUGGUGUUACACUGACAGCUCAUUCAAAAAAGCCAGCAAAGGAGCUUUUGAAAAUAGACCCUAAUUUUAAGGAUAUAGUGGAAUGUUUUGAAGAGAGAGAGGAGCCUUCCCUCACUCAGAUUUUGUCUCUGACUCAGCUGAUAGUUAUGCUUUUGUAUGAAAGCCAGGGAACAGACCAGCUGAAGUGGGAAAUUGGAACUCUGUGUCCAAGUAUCAGGGCAAUUUGCUGCAGCACUACACUCAUAAGAUUCACUUUUUUUUUUUUACAGCAAAUGUGAAUGGCAGAAAAGAUCUGCAUCAUGAACCUGAGAUCAGGCUGUAUAUUCUGUACCUGUACCAGCGGCUCCAGGGGACAAGACUGGGACAGCUUGUACUCAGCCUGUUUUCAUGAACAAACAGCCUCACGGGUGAUAGAGGUUACAGCAACCAGAACAAAGUCAAUUGUGGUCAAACACAAAUUUUGUUAAUGCAGUUCUUAUUUCACAGAAACCUCUUGCUAAACACUGAAAAGAAAAUCUUGCUGUUCUGCAGCAGGUUUGUGUGAUGGAACUGCUACGCUCCUAUGAAAUAACCUGACAAAGUUGCAUAGGAAAUGGCAGCUGUUGAAGCUUUUUGUAAGGCACAUAGAAAAAUAUCAUGCACACGAAUUUUGAAAAGCCACAGGAGGUGUAGUUGUCAAGUUUGUAAGUGUCAAGUCUGAUUUAUCCCAGUACAAUUCAUGAGAACCGAACAGUUUUGUCAUCUUUAAAAAGUGUUGUUUUGUUCAUACUAUUCAAAAGCUGAACUCUUACAUUUCUGAAUCCUUCUAGUGUCUUUGAGAUGUUUAAAAACAUCGGAGGCAAAGAUGCUUACAUGAUUAGACUACACCGUGGAUGUAGCCUUCAGCGAUUUGUAAGACUUGGCCAUUCUUCAUUCACAACAGAAGAAAUGUCUUUUCUGUCAGAACAGAAGCAAUAUAUUUAAAUCUUUUUAUGUGAAAUAGUCUUGCGUGAUUCUCUCCCUAUAGGGCUUAUUGUUUUUAGUCUAUUAAAUCAAGAGGCAAGAACAAAGCAUUUGCCAUUAUGUUUACUUAAAACUGUCACUUGGCUUCAAACCUGUCUCUGAUGCAUGAUGAAUUGGAUAUAACAAGACGUAACCGCAAAGAAAACACAUCUUACAUAUUCAUCACUGCCUCAGCCGUCAAAGUCAUACUCAGUAACUCUUGAAUUGAAUACUCAAUACUCCUGGCCUCAAGUUAGUAACAAUAAACUCCCCCUCUAAUUUUGAAAUAAUGGAAGGCUCUCCUUUAUCUACUGAUUAGUAAGAAAUAAGGAAGAGACUUUGAUGUCCCCCCCUUGGAAUUGUUGUAAUAUUUUAGCUUAAGCCUCCUGACCUGAUUUGGAGGGCUUCAGGUCAUGAAGGAUUAAAAUUUUCUCAUAACUGAAAAGCAGUUCUCUGCUGCUACCUCCUUUUGAGAUUCUUCUCUUAUCUCCAAGGUCAGGUGAAGACAUCAAGGGACUGGAAAUAUGCUCUGUCUGUGAGAUUGCUCAAGAGGACCUUGUAGUGUUCUCCCACAUAAAAACCUCAUUUAUAUCUUCUUAAUUCAAGCAAUGUGCUCAGGCUUAGAAAAAAAUGGCAAAGUAACAGCCUCCAGCAGCUUUUAAACUGGUUGUACUUAUCUGAUUUUCAAGCUGUUUCAAACAUCUUUAAUUGCUUUGGUUAAUUUUAACAACUGUUUUCACAAGAUACUAUUUCUCCAGAGCAGCUUUCUCUCCCUGUUAUGUCUAGUUUAGAUUUUCAUGCCUGGUGAGUUAUUUGCAAGAUCCACUUCCUGGUUUCCUUCAGAAAUUGAGGAUUUCCCUUACACAUUAAUUCUUCAUCACUGCUUUGUUCUCAUUACACUCACUGUUAAGGGAACAUUUCCUUUCCCUAGAUGAUACAGGCAUGUAAAUAAGCUCUUUGGUUAAAUGUCUGUGCAUCACAGACUGGCAUCCCUUGGUUAGCUCCUAAGGAAAUUAUGCUCUGCAUUCCCUUUUGUGCUGUGCUGUGUUUUUUGUUGUUGUUGUUGUUGUUUUCUUCAUUAGAGUGAUCAUUCAUUCAGAGAAAAAAACUGGUCUGAAACAGUGCUCUAAGAGAUCAUUUUGGAACAUGAAGUUAUUGCUUCUGCUACGUUUAGAUUACAUGUAUAUAAACCUAAUAUGUUAUUUCUUCCAACUGUUAAGAGAAAUCAGUGGAAACAGCUGCACAGAUUUCAGUGGGGUUUGUCCUCUAUCGUCUUGCUCCCCGAAAUAGUUCAGUGACAACCUCGUCCUUACCACUCAGAAGCACCCCAGCCUGGACAAGCUCUGCGUUGGUGCCCUUCUCAUUUUUCUGACUGAAUCACCCAGAAAAGAGGCGCCCUGCAGCCCCAGCGUGACAUCCCCUAAAUCAUGGGGAGGACCUUUGACAGAGAAAAAAAUAUUUAAACAUUACGAAUCUCUGGGCACACGUGCUUCAUUUCUUCAGGCUGUUGCUGAGACUCAAAGGUUUUGUAAAUUUGUCUAACUACCUUGAUUGCGCAGCACGACUCAAUUACAAACAGGCAUGUGAAUACAAGAGGUUUUCUUGCAAACAUCACAUUUAUGCAUUAAACAGGAAAAUCAGAGCAGAAGGCCUUGAAAGACACACAGAUUUCAAAAUUCCCUGGAGAACAGAGAAAAUUCUUUGCAAAGCUAUAUUACCAAAACACAGGGACUGUCUGGUAAAGGAAAAUAUUUGAUGUCAGGUCAAAGCACACGCAUUUUACUUGUGAGUAUGAUACAAAAACAAACUUCACAUAUCAUUUACUCUUUGUUCACACCAUUAAAGAGAGAAAGGACUGGAAUUACAGCAAAAGCUGUAAUGAAGUUACCUACAGGUUCUACCUUAAAGCUCUUCCUUCAUUUUCCUAUCAGUUUCUGAAGCUUUCAUACAUUACUCUAAAACUUCAUUUGUUUCUAUAAUCAAUUUCUUUUGAAAGACAAUUUCUAGAGUAUGGAAUGUGUAAAAAAAACAUGCUAAAAAUAUGAAAAUAUGGGAAAAAAAUAUAUUUUUUUUUGACAGCCAGUAAUGUUUCAAACCGACCAGUGGUUUUGCAGUGGAAAAUGUGGUCCCUAGCUAGAUAAUGAAUUCCAACAGAAUCUUGUAUUUUUUAGCUGUACUUAUCCUAACUUGGGAUAUUUGCAAUUCCACAUUUUUGUGUGCACAGCAGUAAUCAGGGGACACUUCCAGUUAAGCCAACUGUUUCUGAGGGGAAAAAAAAAAAAAAAAGCCAACCUUGAUACUAGCCCUCCCAGUGUAACAGAAUAUCUGAGCUGGCUGAGCAGUGAGUGAGGCGUCAUGGGGAGUGCCGUAGUUCAGAGGUCUGGAGGACAAACGUACCCAGCUGAACUGUGACUCAGACAGAGGCACUCAGGGCAGCGGUGGGUAAGAACGCACUUCUAGGGCACAGCAGAUUCUACAAAGUGAAAUGUUUUACACAAAUCAUCUCAUUUGUCCGUCAGAGUCAAGUAGUAUAUGACUAGGAAAAAGUUAGGAUGUCUCUGCUGCUGGCGGGUAAAUAAGAACCGUAGGCUCUAGGAAAAAAUGAAGUUAUCUUUGUGCUAAAGCAACGUGAAUUAAUAGUAUGCUCUCUGUUCUGCACAAGGAUUGAUGUGUGACCAACUCUACAUAGGUUGUAUCUUCCACUGUUUGUAUCCUAGUGUUACAGAACAAAAUUAAACUGUGUUCCUCUACUGCUUUUUGGUGGUGGCAGCUGGUUAAUUGGUUUGUAUUUUGAACAAAGUUGCAGAAUUGAUCUUGCCUGACUUUGAAGAGAACAGGGACCAUUUUGCUUUCCAGUUUCCCAUCCUGGUUCAUAGCAGGACCACACAGUUUUAUAGCAUCACAGAUGAGCACAGGCACCCUGCACUACAGCAAUGAGAAUGUGGGAGGGGGAAGGAACUGCUUCUGCUGCCAGGGUUUUGUCUUCUGUUUGUAAUUUGCCUGCUCAUCUUAAACAUGGAUAAGGGGGCAGCUUAGCUAACAAAACCAUGAAGAGUGCAACCGUGGCACAUGAGAGCAUUGAUCGUAUACCCAACUUCCCCAACCUUUUGUUUCUUUAGCUUUGUGUAGAUCAUAGCAUCCCAAAUCAUGUUCUGCUGGAGGGUCUUCAAAACUCCAUGGGUCUUGCUGAGCCCUUAAACACACUUGCCAUGAUGGGAAGGUCCUCACAGUGCCCUGAGUACCACUGCCAUGUAGUGCUUAGUGACAUGGUUUAGUGGGUGACAUUGGUGGUAGGGGGGUGAUUGGACCAGAUGAUCUUGCAGGUUUUCCCCAACCUUAACGAUUCUGCGAAUAUUCAAAGGUUCCCAUUUAUUUUGAAAAGCCAAAACCUGAUCUUGUUUGAGACACCUGAUAAAGUUCAACUUCAGUAAACCAAUUUGACCCAAAUUGUUUGUGGAGAUAAUGUGUAACAGCAGUCUUCACACAGAUCUGGUCUAUGUUACUUAUUAUCUUGUAAGAGUACUUUGUUGCAUUAGACAUUAUAAAAACAUGUAAUACAGUGUUUUUUCCUUUGCUGUGAAGGAAAUUGUGAUAGUCAUUACCUUUUGCAGCAAAUCUAAUUGCAGAAAGUGUUCCUAUCACAAUACUCACAAUUAAUAUUUCCAUAAGAACAGCUAAACUACAAGAUGUAGGGGAAUUGAUUAUUAAUAUACAUGUACAUUGGAUUAAAUCUAAUUGGCAAGUGUAACAGAGGCUAUUCAUACAUGGGAGCUUCAUGUGUACUUAAGCUUACUCAUUCAUUCUUCAUCCUCAAUUCUGGAAAAACACUUGGAUCACUUAAAGAUAUUUAAAUACCCUGGGCUUUUCCAGGAACUGUUGGAGUAUGGUGCAUAGGCAAAAGAGAGAGAGAGGAAAAUCUUGGAGCACAGACAGCUGACUAAUGGCAGUGCAAGGUGUGAAAAAAAUACAGGGGUAUGAGCAAGGGAAUGGAAAUCAGUUAUCUGAGUCAUCAGCAGAGCAAGAUUUCAAACAUUCAUUUUUAAAUAAAAGCAAUUGUGAUUAAAUAGGACCUUCAUUUUAUUCUAUUUAUCAAGGUAAAAGUCAGAAAAGGUGUAAAUCCUUUAUGUGGUAAUCAGGCUCCUGCUUGUACUUGUUUCACUGUGUGAAUAAAUAAAUAAAUUAAUUAAAUUAAAAAAAUCCUAAAAUGAAUCCUGAUAAACUCUUUGGUAAUAAAUGAAGUGUCUUAGGAGAGAACUUAUUACGAUUUAUUCAUAAAACCACCUCGUUUUCCCAAUUUUGGCAGCAGACACAACGAAGCUUUACAAUACAUAAGUCUUUAACAUUUUAGUUGUUAUGAGAUGAAAUUGCCAUUUAUCUGCUAUUAAUAAGACUGCGUUUAUUAUACGAUGGUAGCAAAUACCACUGGUAAUAGAAACAGCUAAUCCACAGAUGUUCCAAAGAUACCUGCUGGACUGUUCACGACACUGAUAGACGAAAUGUGUUACCUUUCUAAAGGUAAAUUUUCUAAAGGUAAUUUUUUU